AUUGAACGCUGGCGGCAUGCUUUACACAUGCAAGUCGAACGGCAGCGCGGGCUUCGGCCUGGCGGCGAGUGGCGAACGGGUGAGUAAUGCAUCGGAACGUGCCCAGUAGUGGGGGAUAGCCCGGCGAAAGCCGGAUUCAUACCGCAUACGACCUGAGGGUGAAAGCGGGGGACCGAAAGGCCUCGCGCUAUUGGAGCGGCCGAUGUCGGAUUAGCUAGUUGGUGGGGUAAAGGCUUACCAAGGCGACGAUCCGUAGCUGGUCUGAGAGGACGACCAGCCACACUGGGACUGAGACACGGCCCAGACUCCUACGGGAGGCAGCAGUGGGGAAUUUUGGACAAUGGGGGCAACCCUGAUCCAGCCAUGCCGCGUGCGGGAAGAAGGCCUUCGGGUUGUAAACCGCUUUUGUUCGGGAAGAAAACCUCUGGGCUAAUACCCCGGGGGGAUGACGGUACCGGAAGAAUAAGCACCGGCUAACUACGUG
rnacentral:rRNA from 1 species